rnacentral:rRNA from 1 species
CUUACACNUNGCAAGUCGAACGGCAGCGCGGGGCAACUCUGGCGGCGAGUGGCGAACGGGUGAGUAAUAUAUCGGAACGUGCCCUGGAGUGGGGGAUAACGCAGCGAAAGUUGCGCUAAUACCGCAUACGAUCUAAGGAUGAAAGCGGGGGAUUCGCAAGAACCUCGUGCUCCUGGAGCGGCCGAUAUCUGAUUAGCUAGUUGGUGGGGUAAAGGCCUACCAAGGCAUCGAUCAGUAGCUGGUCUGAGAGGACGACCAGCCACACUGGAACUGAGACACGGUCCAGACUCCUACGGGAGGCAGCAGUGGGGAAUUUUGGACAAUGGGCGAAAGCCUGAUCCAGCAAUGCCGCGUGAGUGAAGAAGGCCUUCGGGUUGUAAAGCACUUUUGUCAGGGAAGAAACGGUGAAGGCUAAUAUCCUUUGCUAAUGACGGUACCUGAAGAAUAAGCACCGGCUAACUACGUGCCAGCAGCCGCGGUAAUACGUAGGGUGCAAGCGUUAAUCGGAAUUACUGGGCGUAAAGCGUGCGCAGGCGGUUUUGUAAGUCUGUCGUGAAAUCCCCGGGCUCAACCUGGGAAUUGCGAUGGAGACUGCAAGGCUAGAAUCUGGCAGAGGGGGGUAGAAUUCCACGUGUAGCAGUGAAAUGCGUAGAGAUGUGGAGGAACACCGAUGGCGAAGGCAGCCNCCUGGGUCAAGAUUGACGCUCAUACACGAAAGCGUGGGGAGCAAACAGGAUUAGAUACCCUGGUAGUCCACGCCCUAAACGAUGUCU